GGGCGAGUGGCGGAAUUGGCAGACGCGCUGGACUUAGGAUCCAGUAUCGUAAGAUGUGCGGGUUCAAGUCCCGCCUCGCCCACCA
rnacentral:tRNA from 1 species